rnacentral:rRNA from 1 species
CCUACGGGGGGCUGCAGUGGGGAAUAUUGCGCAAUGGGGGAAACCCUGACGCAGCGACGCCGCGUGAGCGAAGAAGGCCUUAGGGUCGUAAAGCUCUGUUAUAAACGACGAAAAGUAUCUAUGUAAACAAUGUAGAUACAAGACGGUAGUAUAUGAGCAAGCCCCGGCUAACUAUGUGCCAGCAGCCGCGGUAAGACAUAGGGGGCUAGCGUUGUCCGGAAUUACUGGGCGUAAAGGGCGCGUAGGCGGGAUCUUAAGUCAGGUGUGAAAGACCGCAGCUUAACUGCGGGGUUGCACAUGAAACUGAGAUUCUUGAGGGCAGGAGAGGAAAGCAGAAUUCCUGGUGUAGCGGUGAAAUGCGUAGAAAUCAGGAGGAAUACCGGUGGCGAAGGCGGCUUUCUGGACUGACCCUGACGCUGAGGUGCGAAAGCGUGGGUAGCAAACAGGAUUAGAUACCCCGGUAGUC